UUCUGCUUCCUAUUAGGUGCUUUAACGAACCACCAGAACAGUGAUUUCAGCUGGCCCCUCUUGAGAGGCCUGUGGAGGCAGGACUACGUGGUGUCCACCAGCAUCUGGAGCAGCCUAGCUCCUUUCACACAAGCAUUGUCUCUCCUGGUCCCUGCUGGCACCUCUGUGGCAGAAAAGCUGGAGAUCCUCCCCACAAAAGGCAUCUCCUCUACACAUCCCUGCUGCUUGGUGUCUUCUGAAUUUGACUAGCAAACUCCACUCAAGCCUUCUGAAAUGAAAAGACUGAACAACAGGAUCAGAAAACCACUUCCAUGGAAAGAAAAAUAAAGGCGUCUACUUUCACAUCAAUAGAGGACAGAAGACAACCAGACUGUCCUCUGUGAUGGCCACCCUAGAUACUCUGCAUGUGCCUACCAGUCUUUCUACUGCAACAGCCCCAACUCAAAAUGGCAGGUCAGUGUUUUCACUUAACCUCUCCAGUAGAAAGCCCAUUUGUGGGAAGUUUAAAAUUGCACAGUGAAACUACAGGUAAAAACAAGCAGAGAGGAGUCAGGCACGUCUGCUGGAAGCUACCUUCCUGGUCAAAUGAAAAAUCAAGUCACAAACUGGCUUCCUGCCCAUAGAAAGCAAGUGAAUGCUUCUCAGCUGUUGUAGAGCACAGUGCUUGACCUUAGGUUUUUAUCAAGUAGUAGAGAGGUUUUGAAGGUAUAGUUGUAGUGGGAAAGUCCAGCUUAAGGUUUAAGAUCCCAUUGCAGCAAUUCCUUUCUUGGGCUGCAGAUACAAACAAUCCUACUGCUUCUGUUAAGGUCAUUCCUAUAUCAUGACUCUCAGUAAUCGUUGCAGAACCCUUUUUCAUGUGGACACAUACACAUACAACACUAUAUUCAGUGCUGCCCUUGCAAAAGGAUUGUAUUCCAGCCUCAUUCCAUGCAAUGCAAGUCCUCAUUAUGUUCCUGCCUGUAACCUGUCAGAGCCGAAUAGCCUAAGGAAAGCCGUGGCA